rnacentral:misc_RNA from 1 species
GUCGAUAUGGCGAAUAGAGCCACAUUGAUCGCCAGCGCCUCGAUCAUCAGAUCGGCCCGAAAGACAUGGUCGAUCAGCAGCGCCCGCAUGCCCUCAAAAACGUAGGUCGGCGGCAGCAUCCACGCCACCACCUGAAGCCAGUCCGGCAGGACCNNNNNNNNNNAUACGCAUGACAGCGGCAGCAGCGCGAACAUCAGCGUCCAUGCCAGCCCCUCUGCGCCCAUGCCAUUGCGCAGCACCAGCCCCGACGAGAUCAGACCGAACGACCAGCUCGUGAAGAUCAGGUUGCAGAAGAAUGCCACCAGGGCGAAGCCAAAUCCGAACAGGUUGAAUCCGAAGAAAGCGAUGGCAAGUAUCGUCAUCGGAAUGACUCCGACAGCCAGCCGCACCACGCUCAUCACCAUCAGCGAGAUCAGAUACUCGCUGACCUUGAGUGGGCUCAUCAGCAGAUUACCGAGAUUCUUGGACCACAUCUCUUCGAGGAACGACAUCGAGAAGCCGAGCUGUCCGCGAAACAGAAUAUCCCACAGGAUCACCGCGCC